GGAAUCCAAAUUUUUUCUACCUGAUGAAAUGUUUCUGGAUUGUGAAUUAAAUCAGGAAGAUAUUGAAAGAGAGUUUGGAUUUACUUUUGAUGUGCCACAAGUAGAACUAAUGGAUGCCCACGGAAAUAUUUUGGGCUGUUGCACCAACAAUGGUUCCAUGCUUCCUCAUUCUGAUUUUGUUAACAUCCAUCAUAGUUCAACAUCAACAUCUGGAGCUUGUGACAAUAUGAUGUUAGCUGAAUCUCUAAACUUUUUAUGUGGGAUGGAUUCAUUAAGUUCUGAUGCUGGAGAAGAAUUUUCAACUUAUUCUUCGAUCACGCAUGGGACAAAUUCACUUUCAACCCAGCUCAAUGUAGG
rnacentral:misc_RNA from 1 species